GGGGACGUAAAGGUUUCGACAGGUAUGGAUGUAUCUUAGAAAGCGAGCUGGUGUCUCACUUGACCAUAAAACAGUGAAACUUAAAUUAAACGCAGAAGAAAAUUUUGCAUUAGCUGCAUAAGCUACGUCACACCUUCUCUCGCCCGUGGAGAGGGAUGUGGCGUCAAACUACGGGCUAGCUAGUUCUAUCCGCUCAAUUAGAGCUAGUUAAAUCUCAUGAGCUAGAAUAGCUUAGGUUGUUGAUGUCCAAACACUAUUCGAAGUUAAAAACAUCAACUGCGCUCGGAGAGGUCUAGGGGGCAACAUGUUUGGACAGGGGUUCGACUCCCCUCGUCUCCACCA
rfam:Veillonella sp. oral taxon 780 str. F0422 ctg1127947897830, whole genome shotgun sequence.